rnacentral:rRNA from 1 species
GGGUUGUGAGGUUAAGCGACUAAGCGUACACGGUGGAUGCCCUGGCAGUCAGAGGCGAUGAAGGACGUGCUAAUCUGCGAAAAGCGUCGGUAAGGUGAUAUGAACCGUUAUAGCCGGCGAUGUCCGAAUGGGGAAACCCAGUGCAAUUCGUUGCACUAUCGUUAACUGAAUACAUAGGUUAACGAGGCGAACCGGGGGAACUGAAACAUCUAAGUACCCCGAGGAAAAGAAAUCAACCGAGAUUCCCCCAGUAGCGGCGAGCGAACGGGGAGCAGCCCGGAGUCUGAAUCAGCUUGUGUGUUAGUGGAAGCGUCUGGAAAGUCGCAGGGUACAGGGUGAUACUCCCGUACACUAAAACGCACAGGCUGUGAACUCGAAGAGUAGGGCGGGACACGUGGUAUCCUGUCUGAAUAUGGGGGGACCAUCCUCCAAGGCUAAAUACUCCUGACUGACCGAUAGUGAACCAGUACCGUGAGGGAAAGGCGAAAAGAACCCCGGCGAGGGGAGUGAAAAAGAACCUGAAACCGUGUACGUACAAGCAGUAGGAGCCUCUUUAUGGGGUGACUGCGUACCUUUUGUAUAAUGGGUCAGCGACUUAUAUUCUGUAGCAAGGUUAACCGUAUAGGGGAGCCGCAGGGAAACCGAGUCUUAACUGGGCGUUAAGUUGCAGGGUAUAGACCCGAAACCCGGUGAUCUAGCCAUGGGCAGGUUGAAGGUUGGGUAACACUAACUGGAGGACCGAACCGACUAAUGUUGAAAAAUUAGCGGAUGACUUGUGGCUGGGGGUGAAAGGCCAAUCAAACCGGGAGAUAGCUGGUUCUCCCCGAAAGCUAUUUAGGUAGCGCCUCGUGAAUUCAUCUUCGGGGGUAGAGCACUGUUUCGGCUAGGGGGUCAUCCCGACUUACCAACCCGAUGCAAACUACGAAUACCGAAGAAUGUUAUCACGGGAGACACACGGCGGGUGCUAACGUCCGUCGUGAAGAGGGAAACAACCCAGACCGCCAGCUAAGGUCCCAAAGUCAUGGUUAAGUGGGAAACGAUGUGGGAAGGCCCAGACAGCCAGGAUGUUGGCUUAGAAGCAGCCAUCAUUUAAAGAAAGCGUAAUAGCUCACUGGUCGAGUCGGCCUGCGCGGAAGAUGUAACGGGGCUAAACCAUGCACCGAAGCUGCGGCAGCGACACUAUGUGUUGUUGGGUAGGGGAGCGUUCUGUAAGCCGUUGAAGGUGGCCUGUGAGGGUUGCUGGAGGUAUCAGAAGUGCGAAUGCUGACAUAAGUAACGAUAAUGCGGGUGAAAAACCCGCACGCCGGAAGACCAAGGGUUCCUGUCCAACGUUAAUCGGGGCAGGGUGAGUCGACCCCUAAGGCGAGGCCGAAAGGCGUAGUCGAUGGGAAACAGGUUAAUAUUCCUGUACUCGGUGUUACUGCGAAGGGGGGACGGAGAAGGCUAUGUUGGCCGGGCGACGGUUGUCCCGGUUUAAGCAUGUAGGCGGAUGUUCCAGGUAAAUCCGGAACGUUAUCAACGCUGAGGUGUGAUGACGAGGCACUACGGUGCUGAAGUGACAAAUGCCCUGCUUCCAGGAAAAGCCUCUAAGCAUCAGGUAACAUCAAAUCGUACCCCAAACCGACACAGGUGGUCAGGUAGAGAAUACCAAGGCGCUUGAGAGAACUCGGGUGAAGGAACUAGGCAAAAUGGUGCCGUAACUUCGGGAGAAGGCACGCUGAUAGGUAGGUGAAGUGGUUUACCCAUGGAGCUGAAAUCAGUCGAAGAUACCAGCUGGCUGCAACUGUUUAUUAAAAACACAGCACUGUGCAAACACGAAAGUGGACGUAUACGGUGUGACGCCUGCCCGGUGCCGGAAGGUUAAUUGAUGGGGUUAUCCGUAAGGAGAAGCUCUUGAUCGAAGCCCCGGUAAACGGCGGCCGUAACUAUAACGGUCCUAAGGUAGCGAAAUUCCUUGUCGGGUAAGUUCCGACCUGCACGAAUGGCGUAAUGAUGGCCAGGCUGUCUCCACCCGAGACUCAGUGAAAUUGAACUCGCUGUGAAGAUGCAGUGUACCCGCGGCAAGACGGAAAGACCCCGUGAACCUUUACUAUAGCUUGACACUGAACACUGGUCCUUGAUGUGUAGGAUAGGUGGGAGGCUUUGAAGCGUGGACGCCAGUCUGCGUGGAGCCAUCCUUGAAAUACCACCCUUUAAUGGCUGGUGUUCUAACGUGGGCCCGUUAUCCGGGUUGCGGACAGUGUCUGGUGGGUAGUUUGACUGGGGCGGUCUCCUCCUAAAGAGUAACGGAGGAGCACGAAGGUCAGCUAAUCCUGGUCGGACAUCAGGAGGUUAGUGCAAUGGCAUAAGCUGGCUUGACUGCGAGCGUGACGGCGCGAGCAGGUGCGAAAGCAGGUCAUAGUGAUCCGGUGGUUCUGAAUGGAAGGGCCAUCGCUCAACGGAUAAAAGGUACUCCGGGGAUAACAGGCUGAUACCGCCCAAGAGUUCAUAUCGACGGCGGUGUUUGGCACCUCGAUGUCGGCUCAUCACAUCCUGGGGCUGAAGUAGGUCCCAAGGGUAUGGCUGUUCGCCAUUUAAAGUGGUACGCGAGCUGGGUUUAGAACGUCGUGAGACAGUUCGGUCCCUAUCUGCCGUGGGCGCUGGAGAAUUGAGGGGGGCUGCUCCUAGUACGAGAGGACCGGAGUGGACGCAUCACUGGUGUUCGGGUUGUCAUGCCAAUGGCAUUGCCCGGUAGCUAAAUGCGGAAGAGAUAAGUGCUGAAAGCAUCUAAGCACGAAACUUGCCCCGAGAUGAGUUCUCCCUGACUCCUUGAGAGUCCUGAAGGAACGUUGAAGACGACGACGUUGAUAGGCCGGGUGUGUAAGCGCAGCGAUGCGUUGAGCUAACCGGUACUAAUGAACCGUGAGGCUUAACCUUACAACGCCGAAG